GUUUAGGAUUUGGAGGAAAAAAAUACGAAGGUCUCUGCUUUCAGCUGACAUGUUUGUGUGUGAAGAAGUCACGGGGUGAACAGCUGAGACCGGAUUUUGCAGAGGAUGAAAAUAGAGA